rnacentral:rRNA from 1 species
CGCGUGCACUGGUCCGGCCGGGCCUUUCCCUCUGCGGAACCCCAUGCCCUUCACUGGGUGUGGCGGGGAAACAGGACUUUUACUUUGAAAAAAUUAGAGUGCUCAAGGCAGGCCUAUGCUCGAAUACAUUAGCAUGGAAUAAUAGAAUAGGACGUGUGGUUCUAUUUUGUUGGUUUCUAGGACCGCCGUAAUGAUUAAUAGGGACAGUCGGGGGCAUCAGUAUUCAAUUGUCAGAGGUGAAAUUCUUGGAUUUAUUGAAGACUAACUACUGCGAAAGCAUUUGCCAAGGAUGUUUUCAUUAAUCAGGAACGAAAGUUAGGGGAUCGAAGACGAUCAGAUACCGUCGUAGUCUUAACCAUAAACUAUGCCGACUAGGGAUCGGACGAUGUUACAUUUUUGACGCGUUCGGCACCUUACGAGAAAUCAAAGUGCUUGGGCUCCAGGGGGAGUAUGGUCGCAAGGCUGAAACUUAAAGAAAUUGACGGAAGGGCACCACCAGGGGUGGAGCCAGCGGCUUAAUUUGACUCAACACGGGGAAACUCACCAGGUCCAGACACAAUGAGGAUUGACAGAUUGAGAGCUCUUUCUUGAUUUUGUGGGUGGUGGUGCAUGGCCGUUCUUAGUUGGUGGAGUGAUUUGUCUGCUUAAUUGCGAUAACGAACGAGACCUUAACCUGCUAAAUAGCCCGUAUUGCUUUGGCAGUACGCUGGCUUCUUAGAGGGACUAUCGG